GCAACAACAACUACAUCUUGUCCUAUAAAAGUUCCUGCUAAUGUUUCAUUUCUUUCUGUAUUUUUUGUUUCAGAAAGCGAGCUAGGAAACGAACCCCAGUAUCCAAAAAUUGAAAGUCGGGAACUUCCACAGAACUAUACUGUAGAGACGCACUUCAUCAUGGAUAUCAAUCACAGCGCCUACUUUGGGAAUGAAACGGAAGACCGUGUGGCCUAUGCAAUGUUAUUCAUGCACUCGGUGAGCCUUCGACUGCAGCAGCUCGAACCUCCCGCUCGGAUAGGGUUAACAGUAAUCGAAGGACUGCAGACCGUACAACCCUAUUUACAGCAACAUGAGGAUGGAAAUAUCAUGGUAGAUCAAACCUUGAAUGCAUUGGGCCAGUAUGCACACAAGAGCCCAACAUCAAAUAGGUCGGAUGUCACCUAUAUGGUAACAA